GCCGCGGUAAUACGUAGGGCGCAAGCGUUAUCCGGAAUUAUUGGGCGUAAGAGCUCGUAGGCGGUUUGUCGCGUCUGCCGUGAAAGUCCGGGGCUUAACCCCGGAUCUGCGGUGGGUACGGGCAGACUAGAGUGCAGUAGGGGAGACUGGAAUUCCUGGUGUAGCGGUGAAAUGCGCAGAUAUCAGGAGGAACACCGAUGGCGAAGGCAGGUCUCUGGGCUGUAACUGACGCUGAGGAGCGAAAGCAUGGGGAGCGAACAGGAUUAGAUACCCUGGUAGUCCAUGCCGUAAACGUUGGGCACUAGGUGUGGGGGACAUUCCACGUUUUCCGCGCCGUAGCUAACGCAUUAAGUGCCCCGCCUGGGGAGUACGGCCGCAAGGCUAAAACUCAAAUGAAUUUGACGGGGA
rnacentral:rRNA from 1 species